CCGGCCGCAUGUUUACGUGGAGAUGAAGAUGGCGGCGCCGGUGACUCCGCCGCGGAGCUGCCUGUUCUCGUGAGGGGUGGAACGUGAGAGCGAGGCGGACCGCGACUCUCUGUCGUCCAUUUUGGCGCCUUGGGGCCGGCGGCCCCUGCCUCUUAGCCCGGCGCUUGGUAACGAUUUGGUCUCUGCGCAGGGGCCAUGGAGGACGAGGAGAGGCAGAAGAAACUGGAGGCCGGCAAAGCCAAGCUUGCACAAUUUAGGCAAAGGAAGGCUCACUCUGAUGGGCAGCAUGCACACAAGAAGCAGAAAAAAAAGAAAAAGGUAUUAAAUGCCAAAGAUGAAGAAUUGGUACAAGAAGGUCUGGAUAUUAACCAGUCUCAAGGAGAAGAUGCCUCCAUAUACAGUUGUCAAAGAGGAGCUGCUGCUACAUCUGACUUUGCUAUAGUGAGGACUUUGCACAGUGAUGAUAUAAUCAAGCAUGAUCCAAUAUAUACUACAGAAUUGGAAAGUGAAAUUUCCACUACAGCGGAUGAUUAUAGCUCAGAGGUAAAUGGUUGCAGCUUUUUGACAAGAACAGCUGUAUCUGAAGAUUGUAUUAGGGAAGAAGAAUUUGGAUUUGGAGAGAAUUUUUCUGAGAAUGAGAUGCAGCAUUCUGUGACACGACUGGAGAUGAUGGAGAGUGAAUUGUCUGGAAAGCAACAAGAGAUCGAUGAGCUAAACAGAGAGCUAGAAGAAAUGAGGGCAGCUUAUGGUACAGAAGGAUUGCAACAGCUACAAGAAUUUGAAGCUGCUAUCAAAAAAAGAGAUGAUAUUAUCACACAGCUUACUGCAAAUCUACAACAAGCAAGGAAAGAAAAAGAUGAAACUAUGAGGGAAUUUUUGGAAUUGACAGAACAGAGUCAAAAAUUGCAGAUUCAAUUUCAGCAUUUGCAGGCAAGUGAAGCAUUAAGGAACACUAGUCAUAGCAGCACUGCUGCUGACUUACUCCAGGCUAAACAACAGAUACUUGCAUAUCAGCAGCAGCUAGAAGAACAAGAGCAGUUAUUGAAGAAUUAUCAGAUUAAAAACAAAGACUUUGAAAUGCAGGUUUCAUUUCUGCAGGAAAGAGUCACUGAGUUUGAAAAGGAAAAAUGCAACACUGAAGGAGAUGCAACUAAGAAGAAAUUACAGGAGAAAGAAGCAGUUAUUGAAGAAUUGGAAGCAAAAGUUCUAGAAGAGGAAGAAAAUAGAUUUAUUCUUCAGAAAACAAUAUCAGCUGCUGAGAAAUCACUAGAGGAAAUAAAAGAAGAGCUUUUUCAAAAGAACCAAGAGCUACAUAAUAUGAGAGUAGAUCUAAGCAAUUCUAAACAAAAAGAAAGACAGUGUUCUGAUGAAAUAAAACAGCUAAUGGGAACUGUGGAAGAGCUGCAAAAGCGAUGUCACAAAAAUAGUCAACAUGAAAAUGACAUUGUAGAAAGAAUGGAACUUGAAACACAAAAGAGACUUGCAGAUCUUAGGGCAGAAUUAGAGGAAGUACAUGGACAGCAGAUUGUACAUAUGAAGCAAGAAUUAGUUAGAGAACAUACAACCGAGAUUGAAAGACUUCUUGCCCAACAGAAAGCAGAUCUGGAGAGAACUUUGAAUUUACGCUCUGGUAGUACUAAUGAAGACCAAAUAAACUUAAUGAAUAUUGCAAUUAAUGAGUUAAAUCUGAUGCUGCAGGAUGCUAAUUACCAGAGAGAAAAAGUAAGGCAAGAUUUGUCCCAACAGCUUGAUCUGUUAUCCUCUGAAAAAAGUUCCCUACAAAGUCAAGUUGAGGAUCUUUGUCAAGAGCUGAGCUUUUCCAGAGAGCAAAUUCAGAGAGCCAAGCAGACUAUUCAUGAAAAAGAUUCCAAGUUACAUGAAGUAGACAUGUUGCAAAUUACUGUUGAAGAACUAAAAGCCCAGCUUGCUUCAGCUUCUGAGAUUAAGGCGGAAUUAGAAUUAAAACAUGAAGCAGAAGUUACAAAUUACAAAAUAAAACUUGAAAUGCUAGAAAGAGAAAAGGAUGCAGUUUUGGACAGAAUGGCUGAAUCUCAGGAAGCUGAACUAGAGAGAUUGAGGACUCAGCUUUUGUUUAGUCAUGAAGAAGAGCUAUCAAAACUUAGAGAAGAUUUACAGCAAGAGCACAAAAUAAACUUUGAGAAUUUUAAAGAGAAUAUGGGUAUUCAAUCUAAACAGCAGUUAGAUGAUUUGAAAAAUGAAAUGAGCAAGAAAAUAGAAGCUCUGCUGUUGGAAAAUGACAACUUAAAAUUAAAACAGAAUCAUCUCAUGCUAGAAAUAUCAAGGCUAAAAGAUUUGCAUCAGUCUAACAUAAAUUCUAAAACUGAAGAAAUGAUGCUUCAGUUCCAUGACCUCCAAAAGGAGAUAGAAGUUCUUAGACAGGAAGAAAAAGAAAAGGGUACACUUGAACAGGAAAUACAAAAGUUGCAACUUAAAACAGAAUUAUUGGAAAAGAAAAUGAAAGAGCAAAAGGAUAGUCUUCAAGAAAAAUGCACAUUGCUUGAAACACGAAAUAAUAUUCUUGAAGGUGAAAAAAGUGCCCUGCAAGAGACGUUAAAAAAAUAUGUUGUUAGCAACACAGAAGAAAGCUUGAACUUCACUGGUGGCAUGAAUUCCAAAUCAGAAGAGUUUAAUUUGCAAGAAAGAAUAGAAAAUCUGAUUGCUGCAAAUCAGAAGCUUAUAAAACAAGAUAUUGAACAUAAAGAGGAAAUUGAGAAGUUAAAAAAUUCCUUUUCAUUUAUGGAGAGAAACUUUGAACAUAAAUAUCAAGAACUCCAAGACAAACAUGCUGCCCUGCAAAAGGUAAAAUUAGAUUUAGAAGAGAACAGAAGCAAGCACGAGGUUGAAUAUAAAGCCAAGCUCCAGGCUUCAAUGGAAGAGAUUGAUGGUGAUAUGCCAGUAGUGAAAAGUCAACAUAUGGUUGUCCAUGGUAAGAAAGAAAGACUUUUAAGAUCAGAAACAUUUGAGAUUGAGGAGGUUGUAGAAAAAGACACAACAGAAUUGAUGGAAAAACUUGAGGUCACUCAGCGUGAGAAGCUAGAACUCUCACUGAGACUUUCAGAUCUUUCUGAUCAAUUAAAACUGAAGCACAAUCAAAUUUGUCAGUUGAAUGAAGAAGUUAUAUCUCUAAAACAAGAUAAAGAGCACAUUUCAGCAAGGUGUAAAGAACUAGAACAGGUAGUUAGCCACAGGCUGGAGCAGAAUACAAACUCUUGUAAACAGAAGGCAAAAUACUCCAAAGGGGAGUUACAGAAAGGCUAUUCUGAAGUUUGUGAACCUGAAAACCUUGUUUCUGAUUCAAACAAAGAAUUUGAUAGCACAAUAAGAAAAAGAAGCGAAAGACUGACUUCAAAUAGUUUGACUCAUCAAAUUCCAGUGGAAGAAGCAGUUCAACCAAAGCUGAUUUCAGGACACAAAUCACCUUCGGAUAAUUUUCACCAAAUGAAUGAUGAUUUAUUAGUUAACUUUUCAUGUGAUAGCCUUGUGCAAGGUGAAAAUGAGCUCCGGAAGCAGUUGGACAUGCUGAAAGCCGAACAGACUGAUUUAAAGCUGCAAAUGGAAGCCCAGCGCAUUUGUCUUUCUCUGGUUUAUUCUGCUCAUGUGGACCAAGUGCGCGAGUCCAUGGAAAAUGAGAAGAAGAAUGCACUUUCUGCUCUGACAGAAGAGCUCCAGUUCCAUCAUGCACAAGAGCUGUCUGAACUUAAGAAAAAUCAAAUGGAUCUUCAGGCCACAAAAAAUAAAAAAACAGAUGAAGAAGAACUGUCUACAUGGGUGCAGCUAGAAAGACUUAGUAAAACAGUAACUGAGGAAUAUUCUAAGCUAACUCAGGCACUGUGCAGCAUUCUACCUGGAAUAUUUUCAACUGCUGUUGAACCAGUUGGUGGUGAGAAAGAAACAUCUAACACAAUAUUAAUGUCAAAUGCAGAAGCUCAAGUUUUGCAAGAAACCCUACAAAGUCUUCUAAACAAGAUAAUGGAAGUGUACCACAGGCUACUGGAAUAUCAUGCACAAUUUGUGAAGGACAAUAAAAAGGUUGGAGAACAAAUGGCUUCUUUGGCAGAAAAUGAGGAGAAAGACAUUGGCAGUCUUCAACAAAAUGCAGAAUGUUUAUUUGGACCUUUGCAAGAUCUUGCUGGUAAAGAGAAGCACAUAAAACUUAAAAUUAAGUCACCACAUUGGGAAGACAUAGAAAACUUUAAAUCUCAACUUGAAAAACAGCAUGCUGAAGAAGUUGAGCAUCUUCGAUCAUAUUUCCAUCAGCAAUUGAAAGAAACUGAGGAACGAUAUACUGUGGAAAUAGUUCAUUUACAGAGUAGACUACAAGAUGUCAAUAAGUCUUCUGAAUGUUUCAGGAUUUCUGUGGAACCUCAGGUAAAUGAAGUUAAGCAGAACAAGAAACAUGAUGAAAGUGAUCUUCAGCAAAUGUCUGAGAAGGCAGUAGAGAGCUCCAAUGAAGUUGGUGUUGUUGAAUACCUGGAAAGACAGUACGAAGAAAAAUUGUUACAAGAAAUAGCAAAGGUGGUUGUAACUAUGAGUGUAGAGUUUGCACAGAAAAAUGAACUAACAAGAAUUGCUAAUCUAAAAGAGGCAGAGAAAAUGGCACUGGUGAUACAAACACAAACUCAUGAGGAAAAUAAUUCCAGUAGAAAAGAAUAUCCUGAAGAAUUAGUUAGCCAUACAAAUGAGGAGCAAGGCAUGAAGCAUGAAGAAUUCAAAUCACUUAGUAGAGAAAUCAGUGAAGAAUAUGGUGAAACUUCAUCACUUGAAAAACAGUUUCAGCCAGAUGUUAAGUCUACUGAGAUACUUGGACUACACAAUUUUGGUUCAGUGUUUCCAACAGAGCCUUUCUCAAAUGACAAAGAGCUUAUGCACAACAGAUCUCUGGUUACAAACAAAGUUCCAACCUCCAGCAUAGUAGCUUCAAGUCAGAUAUCACUGUAUGAAGAGCGUUUGGAAGAUAUGCGUCAAGAGCUUGUCCGUCAGUAUGAGGAACAUCAGCAGGCAACAGAAACCUUGAAACAGAGUCAUAUGCAGCAGAUGGAGUGGCAGAAAGAAAAUCAGGAGCAACUUCUAGCAGAACUGAGCCAGCUCAAAAUACAAUUGGCAGAGAGUGUUACACUGGAUAGUGAAAAUAUCAAUACAGAACGAGAACAAAUGCUUUUAGAUGAACUCGACUCAUUAAAGAAGCAGUUAAUACCUGGAAGAAAGAAGGAAGCCUGUGAGUUAAACAGCAGUGGAACUCAAACACAGGAUGAAAAUAUAAGUCAAACUGAAUCCAAAGAACAUACAUUAGAAGGUGAAGAUGGAGGAAAGCAUGAAGAAGCUUCUCUGGACAUCCUUUCAAAAGAAAGACAUGCCUUGCAGAAAGCUAAUACCAGAUUGAUGAAGAUUCUCUUAGAGGUUCUGAAGACAACUGUAGCUGUUGAAGAAACAAUUGGUCGUCAUGUUGUGGGACUACUAGAUUCCUCAUCAAAGUGUCAGUUAUCUUUUAAAAGUUCUCCAUGGGAGGCCAGAAUAGAGGACUCCAUCAAACCAAGCAUCUGUGUGGGAUAUGAAACAGAAAAAUUGUCUUCCUAUCAUGACAGCAGUUUAGAAGGUGAGGACAGCAGCAUGUGGUCAGAAGUUGCAGAUGAAAGCUUUGAACUCAGCCAAUACCUUGGAAUGGAGAUAGACUCAAAAAAUGAAGAGCUAGUGCUAAAUAUCAGUUCACGACUUCAGGCAGCAGUUCAGAAACUUCUGGAAACGAUCAAUGAAACCACCAAUCAGCUCAAACAUGCAAAAGUUGCACAGACAGAAUUGAUGCGAGAGUCCUUUAAACAGGAGCAAGAAGUCACUGAAUUACUCAAAAGUCAGGAAGAAUUACAAGAGCGAUUUGAUGAAGAGGUUAAAGUUAGAGAGCAGUUGGCAUUGGAACUCAGCAAAGCAGAGAAUCUUAUUGAUAGCUAUACAGAUGAAAAAUCAUUUCUGGAAAAGCAAAUCCAGGAAAAAACAGAUGCAAUUGACCAUCUUGAACAAGAACUACUUUGUACAGGUAACAAAUUACAGGAACUAGAGGCUGAGAGGCAGCAGCUUCAGGAAGAGAAGGAAUUACUCUUCAGGCAAAAGGAUGCUAUGAAUGCUGAUGCAGGACCAGUGGAACAACGCCUAGUAGAUGCUGCAGUCGAUGCAGCUUCCCAAGCAGAGCUGUUGGCAGAAACAGAGAAACUAAUGAAAGAAAAAAUAGAAGUACAGCGGCAAGCUGAAAAAGAAUAUCACUGCCUUCAGAAGCAGGUGAAGGCACUGGAAACUGAUAUAGAGGAGCAGGUCAACCGGUUUUUGGAACUAGAACAAGAAAAGAAUGCAGAACUAAUGGAUCUAAGGCAGCAGAACCAAGCUCUGGAGAAACAGCUUGAGAAAACCAAAAAAUUUCUGGAUGAACAGGCAAUUGAUAGGGAGCAUGAGAGAGAUGUGUUCCAACAAGAGAUACAAAAACUUGAGCAACAGCUUAAAAUUCCACAAAGGUUUCAGCCCAUCAGUGAACAGCAAAACAAAGAGGUUGAACAAUUAACAAAUCACCUCAAAGAAAAAACAGACAGAUGCAGUGAGCUUUUGCUCUCUAAGGAGCAACUUCAGAGAGAUGUGCAAGAACGGAAUGAAGAAAUUGAGAAAUUAGAGUGCAGAAUCAGAGAACUGGAACAAGCUUUAAUGAUCAGUGCAGACAGUUUACAAAAGGUGGAGGAAAGAAAGCAAUUUGGCUCAACAACAAUAAGGGGAGAAUUACCCCUAGAAGCACAGCUGCAGGCUGAGCAAGAAGCCGUAGACAGGAAAGAAAAGGAGAUCAUAAAUCUUGAAGAACAGUUAGAGCAGUUCCGUGAGGAACUAGAAAACAAAAAUGAAGAAGUACAACAGUUGCAUAUGCAAUUAGAAAUCCAACGAAAAGAAUCCACUACCCAACUACAAGAACUUGAGCAAGAGAAUAAAUUCUUCAAGGAGGAUAUGGAAAAACUGGAACUAGCUAUGCAGCAUCCUGAAGAUACUUCUAUAAAGAGUCAUCAUCCAGUUGCUGGAAAGUUUUUACACAUUAUACAGAACAAGGAACAAGAAUUACAUGAACUCCAUGAACAGAUUUCAAAACUGCAUCAGAAACUUGAAAUUACAACAAAUAACAAAGUGAUUGAAGAAAAAAAUGAGCACAUAACAGAACUGGAAGCCCAAAUAGAAUAUUUAAGAGGUGAUCAAGAACGUGUAAAGCAAAAUAGUGAGCAGGAAAUAGAACAGCUGAAUGAAGUUAUUGAAAAACUCCAGCAGGAACUGGCAAAUAUUGAGCACAAGAUUCCUUUGGAUCUUUCACUGACUCAGGAGGAUGCAGAUAACUUAAAACACCAGCUUGAUAUAGUGUUAGCAGAAAAUGAAUCCUUGAUGAAGCAAGUGGAAAAUAAUGAUGUCAAGUUAUCUCUUGCAAAGAGCGAACUGGAAGAGACGAAACUAAAAAUAAGCAAGUUAGAGACAGAAGUAGAUGCACUGAGGAAAGAUCAUGGAAGAAUGGGGAAAAAACAUGAAGAUAUACAGAGAAGAGGUUAUAUGGCAGAAAUAGGAGUGAAGGUAAAUGAAAAUCUUGGAGCUGUAGAUUGGAAGAAAAUGGAAAUGUUAAAAGAUGAAAUCCCACUUGGUUACAUGGGUGAAAAUGUCAAAGAAGGUUCGGAUAAUGUAGAUACAAAGUUGCAGCAGCUUCAAAAAGCUCUUAAGGAAAAGGAUUCAGAGCUAACCCAAUGUUACAAGGAGCUCAAGGUUUUAAAAGAGCAAGCGCAAGAAGACUCAGAAGUGUUUAAACAGAAAAUGAUAGAACUGGAAGAAACCCUCAAGCAAAAGGUUGCUGCAGCUCCUAUGAAUAAAGCUCAGCUGAAUGUGGUUCUAGAGCUAAGUAAAUUUCUCCCAGAAAUGCAGGCAACUUUAGGAGAUGCCAAGGAAGUUAUCAGAACUGUUACAAUGGAGAAAGUAAAUAGCACAGUUGGAGAAGAUGCAACAUCUAGAUUAUCAGAGUUAUUGGAAAAGCUUUUAGAGAUGGAAGGCCAGCUGGCAAAUGCACAGAAUAACCUGCAACUAGAAAAAAUAAAAGUAGAAACUGCACAAAAAGAAACAAAGGAAAAGGAAGAGAGACUUGCUGAACUUCAGUGGCUGUUGGCAGAAGCAGAAGAAAAGCAUAAAAAGGUGGGAAUAGAGCUGAAUGAAAAUGAACAAAUACAUGCAAUGACUGCUGAUCCAGAACUAGAGAGAGUCAGAGCUGAAUCUGCUGCCGCCAAGGAAGAGCUUAAUAGUUAUAGAGAAAAGGCAGAUAAAUUUAAGGAACAAUUAAUGGUAAAAGAAACAAGUCUGCUCCAUCUUCAAGAUGAACUACAGAAAACCAAAGAUAAGCUAGCUCAAGCAGAAGAAAAAAUUGCAGAUUAUGUCAGAAAGGAAAAGAACAUUGAAAAGUCAGAGAGAAUAUGUCCCAAUAGAACAAAUGCAUCAUGUCAGACUGAAAAAGCACUGUAUGUCCAUAGCUGCAACCAAACUUCACAGCUGCCUGUCAAAAAUGAAGGAAUCCAGAUUGAUUUACAAAAUGGGUCUUCUUCAGAGGAUGUUGCAGAAAUCAUAAGAGAAUUUAGUGAAAAAAUUGAACAAAUGCAGGAACUACACGCUGCUGAAAUAAUGGACAUGGAGACACGGCAUAUCUCAGAAUCAGAAGCACUGAAAAGAGAACAAUUUAUUCUAGUGCAGGAGUUAACAGAAGAAUGCAAUGCUUUGAAAGAUGUCAUAGAAAGCCUGAGAGAUAAGGAGGGGAUCUCCAACAUAGCACAAUCUUCUAAUGCCAGAGAUGGAUGCUCUAGUGACUCUAGUUCAGAUUGGAGCCAAGGAGGAUACCUUAUACCAGGCCAAGGAUCAGAUGCUAUAUCAGAAGGUAUAGAAGAUGAAGGUGGAACUUCCACAGAUUUUCUUCCAAAGAAAAUAAAGGGGCUACUAAGAGCUAUUCAUCAUGAAGGUGUACAGGUGCUUUCUCUCUCAGAAUUUCCUUACAAUGAAAGUGAAGUUCUGUCUCCUAAACAUGGGCCAGAAUCUUGGUUAGAAGAACGUGAGGCUUUCAUGAGCAUUGUUUCAUCUCUGAAGGAAUUAAUUGCCAAAAUGCAGAUUCACAGGGAAGCAGAGUUCUGUGCAGGAUCCGAAUCUUCUGGUGGUGUCCCAGACUGGCGAACUGAGCUUCUGAAUGCUGUUCAACAAGUCUUCCAGAAAGAGAAAGAUGUUCUUUUAGCAGCAUAUCAAACUGAAUUAGCUGAAGCAGGUGUUAGAGAUGUAAUGAUGCUAAUAAAUCAGGUGGAAAAGAAACUUCAGGAGCAGGAUACUUAUCAGAAAAAUGCUGUGGAAUAUAUUCAGAAUGCAGAUAGAAGAAGUUUGCUGGCGGAAAUCAAUUUAUUGCGUGCUCAACUAAAGAGGAAAUCUGAUCCAAAGAAGGAAUUAGAAACUGAGCCAAACUGUCAGGAGCUGCUGGGGUACAACAUGGACAUCCAAAUGGAGCUCAGUAGUACAAAAGACAGAGCAGCUGAACUUCAAGAGCUUCUGAACUCUGAGAGGAUGGUGAUUGUAGAACUAAGGAAUGAACUUGGGCAAACUAAACUAGAACUGGAAACAACACUGAAAGCACAACACAAGCAUUUAAGAGAUCUGGAAGCCAUCAGAAAUGAACUUAAGGGAAAAGCAGCUGAACUAGAUAUGCUAAAAGACACAAUGGCAAGUGAACAAAAGAAAUCAAGAGAGCUUCAGUGGACACUGGAGAAGGAGAAGGCUAAAAUAGAACGCAGUGAAGAAAGAGGAAAAGAAGAGCUUGAGGAUUUGAAAUAUUCUCUUGAAAAUGAGAAGCAGAAAGUUAAAGAAUUGAGUAAUCUUUUGGAGCUUGAGAGAGAGCUGUCAAAUGAUUUGCAAAAGAAGGUGGAAUCCCAGGAAACUCUGAACACAGCUCAGUUGUCACAGGAGCGCAGUUGUAACUCUGAGCUUCAGGUGCUCCUUGAAGCGGAGAGGUUCCGAGUUCUUGAAGUAAGCAGUGCGCUAGAAAGGGAAAAAGAAUUGUGUGCUCAGCUUCAGAUGGCUGAACAGAAAAGGCAGGGUGGAACUCUUACACCAGCUGAGGAAUUACUGCAAGAUCUGCAAAAACAAUUGGAUGAAAAGCAUGACCGUAUAGUUGCAUUGGUUAGUGAUGUGGAAAGGUAUAAAUUGGAAUCUGUGCAGCUGAAACAACAGCUAGAAAAGGAGAGACAGAUUCAGAAGAAAACUCUACAAACUGAACAAGAUGCUAACAUCAUGGCACAGAAAAAAGUACAUGAACUGGAAUCCAAGAUAGAAGAUCUUCAGUGGCAACUUGGAGAAAAGAGACAACAGGUUCACCAGCUGCAGUGUGAGGAAAAGAAAUUGCAAGAAAUCAUCCAAGAGUUACAACAAAAAGAACACAGAAAAGAGGCAGAAGUUGACAAAGGAACCUAUCAGAAUCUAAAUGAGACUGCUUGGGAUACAUCUAAUGAGCGAACAAGAAAGUGGGUUUUCCAGCAGAAAAUAGCCGGAGUUGAAGCAAAAGAAUUGUCUUGCUCUGCUGUAACUGCCAUGGAAGAAGGAGGAGGAGGAGAUGCUACCAAGGAAUGUCAAGAUCUUCAGAUGGUUAGGCAGAACCUGAGAAAUGUAUCUUCAAAGUUAAAACAACUGUCUAAAAAAGCAGCCUGCAGAUUACCAUUUGAAAAAUCAGAUGAUGAAGACUUUAUUGAGAUACAAAAUAACAUUGAAGACAGUCUCUUGCAAUUACAGAUGCUUUCUGGUUUGCUCAACUUGGAAACAGAGAUGAAUGUAGAUUUGCCAUCCACUGCUUCAUUGACUGAAAGGCUGCUGAAACAGAAUGCUGAAUUGACUGGGUUUGUCAGCCAACUAAGCGAAGAAAAGAACAAUUUGAGGAAUGUGGUCAUGAAACUGGAAAGGGAAAUUAGAAGAUACCAGCAGAGGAGGUCCUGUGGAGAUUCAACUUCUAGCUCAUCAGUGCAUGAUGGAGGAAAUGCUGAUGCACUCAUUGCUUCUGAAAGAGAGUUCUGGCACAAAGAGAAAAUGACUCUGCAGCAGUCCCUGAAGCAAGCUGAAGCAGAGUUAGGGAAACUGAAGGCGGAAUUAAGGAAUGAGUCUUUUCUGAGAGAACUGGGAUCAGAUUCAGAAAAUACUGCUUUAAAGCGAAUUUAUGGAAGAUACCUGAGAGCAGAGAGUUUUCGGAAAGCUCUCAUAUAUCAGAAGAAAUACUUGCUACUCUUGCUGGGUGGAUUUCAGGAGUGUGAAGAAGCCACCUUAUGUCUCAUUGCAAGAAUGGGUGGGCAGCCAUCCUACACAGACCUAGAGGUUAUUACACACCGAUCAAAGGCUUUUACACGGUUCCGCUCAGCAGUGAGAGUGGUAAUUGCAAUUUCAAGAAUGAAGUUCUUAGUUCGUCGAUGGCACCGAGUUACUGGAUAUAGCCUAAUAGGAAUCAACAGAGAUAGUUUUACUCAGAACACAGGCAAUGAACUAAGGUCCGAUUCAGUCACUGGUGGUCUGGAACUUUAUGGAGAACAGAGACAUUCUUACAGGUCCAGAUCAGAGCUGGAGUUUUUCAGAUCUCCCUUUGGUUAUCAACAUAGCCCAAGGUACCAGAGUAUCAAUGCAGAUUUAAGCCCAGUUUCUUUCACAAGUUCUCAGCUGCAGAAUUAUGAUCCUGACAGAGCUUUAACUGAUUAUAUUAGUCGUCUGGAGGCUCUACAGAGGCGGCUUGGCAGUGUACAUUCAGCAUCUGCAUCCUACACUCAACUGCACUCUGGUACCCGAAGAUAGACCUCACAACAUUUUUGCCACUGCUAGUGACAUCAAAAGAAAUGCCUUCUGCAAAUCUGUGCUGCUGCUGCUGCUACUGCUGCUGUGCUUUUCUGUGUAUACUGUGGGACCAACACAAACACAGCUCAACAAUUGUGUGCAGUUCACCUUGCUGGCUCCUCUACAAAAUCUGGAACUUGUGUAUAUAGUUAUGCUCCAUCAUCUCUGAUUUAUGGGGGUCUAUCAAGAAACGACCUACAAACUGUCCUGUCCCUGACAGCCCUACUCAGCUCUUGUCAACUCAAAGCUGUGGCUCCCUUUAUGGAAUUGACCCAUCUCAUAGUUGGACUUCCCUCUCUUUUAUACUACUACUGGCAGAGAAUUCACAGAAAACUACUGAGGAACAAUGAAAACUACUGAGAAACUACUGAGAAAGGCCUGGUGCACAAUUUUCAUUUAUGGAAAGAAGUGGACAAAUGAGCAUUUGGAGCAGGUGCAAAGUGCCCGUCAGUUCUUCAGAGUAUCCAAAAGCUUGGGCAGAGGAAUGUUCCACAGAUGGAGCACUUCCUCUCAGAGGAGGCAGAUCCUGAAUACAACCUUGCAAAAAAUUGCACAAUUUCACAAUGUCUGUUUGAUUCUUUGAUGCAAAUGACUGCUAUCUUCAGCUAGAGCCUUUUUAAAAUUAGUUUAGAAUGGAACUUCACUAGGAAUUAAAAAGCUUAAAUACAAAAUCUA